rnacentral:sRNA from 2 species
GCUACGCCGCAUCGCGGAGUCCUGAGGACCUGGAUGAGCAGUGGGAUGACGUGCGUUCUGAUGCGGCGUGAUGGUGGUCGACGAUGCGCGGCGCGACGCCACCGUGCGCCUACGCCGGCGUGCGACACUGCAGCUGGGGCGGCACGGUAGACAACGGUAGGUAGGUGUGACUGCUGGCUUUGUCGUUGCCCUCCAGCGACGGUCGCGCUGUCUUCGCGUCACCAGCCUUCUGACAACAGGCGGCCGCCGCGGCCUCCUCUUUCGGUGUCGACGCGGUUCUUGUCACCGCCGAUGGUGAACGGAUUGUGGAAGAAGUGCGUCGCGGCACAGACGCCGUUGAUACGUCAUGCCUUCAUUCACCCCAUCUGCCUCUACGAGGCGCCACGCGGUGUGGCGACCAGCGGCGUCUUCUCGAAUAUUCGAACCCCAAUGUGCGUGCAGUCGCUAACCACCCGGCCUUCACGAAGCACCGCGCAAGCUACGACCUGAUGCAGGUACAGGCGCAGCUGCGGGAGCUGCACGCCAAGCUUCACAAGUGCCUGUAGGCACGCACGGUUCUAUUUCCGCGGACUCCGCCAGCAGUCGCCGACCUGAGCGUCUUGGCCCCUUCUUGAGCUGCUGCUGAGCGGCCUCGCCACCAUGGCCACGCAGGCGUCGUUUUGCGGGUUUCACCUCGUCGUCGACUUCUUCUAUUUUCCCAAUGCAUCCUUUCUGUCUCAGGUCGCUCCAACGCUGCGCUGUCCAGGGCCGGACCGCCGGCAUCAGCAGCGGUACGUCGCAUUGACCCCCCCCCCCCUCCCCCCUCCCCAUGCCGUGGGCACUUGGCCCGGUCACCACCAGAGGCGGCUUGGCAUUUGGCAUGGUGUGGGGCUGCUGGGUCCAAUACGGAGUUGGAGGGGGGGGUGCACGGGACCCUUGAGAUACCACGCACUGAGAGGUGUGUGUGUGCGCCCCUCCCCCCCCCCCCCCCCUCCACCCCGUCAUCCGGGACCUCGUCCUGGAAAACUAGCGAAACGUGUGGAAGGCGAGUCAUGUGCAUAUUUGGUCGUAGAACGUGAGGAUGACAGCGGAAGCUUUUCGGAUGGGAAGGCGAGGCAGAAGACGGAUGCUUGGCCAUUUCUUCACACACCGACUCCUUUCGCGCUCUCCUGUUGAGAUGUAUGCGCGCCUGUCGAUGAACGCCAUUUUCGUCGACAACAUCGGUACGGCCGCGUGUGAGGGAAAGGACAAGAAGGCACGAUCGGCAGCAGAGGCGGCGGACAGGCCGUGGAA